rnacentral:rRNA from 1 species
CAGUAGCCGCGGUAAUACGAAGGGUGCAAGCGUUACUCGGAAUUACUGGGCGUAAAGCGUGCGUAGGUGGUGGUUUAAGUCUGUUGUGAAAGCCCUGGGCUCAACCUGGGAAUUGCAGUGGAUACUGGGUCACUAGAGUGUGGUAGAGGAUAGUGGAAUUUCCGGUGUAGCAGUGAAAUGCGUAGAGAUCGGAAGGAACAUCUGUGGCGAAGGCGACUAUCUGGGCCAACACUGACACUGAGGCACGAAAGCGUGGGGAGCAAACAGGAUUAGAUACCCGUGUAGUCCCUGUCUCUUAUAC